UUAGUUCAGUCACCACAACACCAGUCCAGUUAUGGCAGAGAAAUCUGAACAGACUGAUGCUCCUUCUCCAUAUAAAGACCUAACCUUACCGGUCAUGUUUCCCGAACUGCAUACAGAAGAUGAGGGUGGUGCUAAUACCUUCUCAUCGUCGACAUGCAACCCCAACCUGUGGAAUAUGUUGCAUGCAGCCGAGACCAGAUGGAGCGAGCAGUCUCAACCGUCCAACGGAAACGGGGCCGAGGUGUCCGUUGGGGCGGGAGAGACAGUGAUCGAAGCGCUAAAUAUGGAGAGGCAAAUCCAGUUUGCUGAUCAGAAGCAGGAGUUUAACAAACGUCUCACUAAGACCGGUCGUCGCUCCCUGUCCCGCUCCCUCUCCCAUUCCUCCACAGACAGCUACAGCUCAGCUGCGUCGUACACAGACAGUUCAGAGGAUGAGAUGUCUCCUAGAGACAGGCAGCAGAGGAGCUCUAAGGGACAUCAAGACUUCUGCAUCAAGAACAUCAAACAGGCUGACUUCGGACGCAGGGAGAUCGAGAUUGCUGAACAAGAGAUGCCAGCUCUGAUGGCCCUGAGAAAUAGAUCAGGGGGCGAAAAGCCACUGGUUGGUGCUAAAGUAGUGGGCUGCACUCACAUCACCGCUCAGACCGCUGUCUUGAUGGAGACUUUGUCUGCGUUGGGGGCUCAGUGUCGCUGGGCAGCCUGUAACAUCUACUCUACCCAGAAUGCUGUGGCUGCAGCUCUGGCUGAGGGAGGCUUCUCUGUGUUUGCAUGGAAGGGGGAGUCGGAGGAUGACUUCUGGUGGUGUAUUGACCGCUGUGUCAGCCUGGAGGCCUGGCAGCCCAAUAUGAUCCUGGAUGAUGGGGGAGACCUGACCCACUGGAUCUUUAAGAAAUACCCCAACAUGUUCAAGAUGAUCAAGGGAAUCGUGGAAGAGAGUGUCACAGGGGUUCACAGGCUGUACCAGCUGUCCAAGGCAGGGAGACUGUGUGUCCCUGCUAUGAACGUCAAUGACUCCAUUACUAAGCAGAAGUUUGACAACCUCUACUGCUGCAGGGAGUCCAUACUGGAUGGAUUGAAACGCUCUACAGAUGUGAUGUUUGGGGGAAAGCAGGUGGUGGUGUGUGGCUAUGGAGAGGUUGGUAAAGGUUGCUCUGCCGCUCUGAAGGCCAUGGGCUCAGUAGUGUAUGUCACGGAGGUGGACCCCAUAUGUGCCCUGCAGGCCUGCAUGGAUGGCUUCAGACUGGUCAAGCUCAAUGAGGUCAUCAGACAGGUGGACCUGGUCAUCACCUGCACAGGCAACAAGAAUGUGGUAGCAAGAGAGUACCUGGACAGGAUGAAGAACGGCUGCAUCGUCUGUAACAUGGGACACUCCAACACUGAGAUAGACGUGGUGAGUCUGCGGACCCCAGAGUUGACCUGGGAGAAAGUGAGAUCACAGGUGGACCAUGUCAUCUGGCCCGAUGGCAAGAGAAUAAUCUUACUGGCUGAAGUGAGUGUCUCUGUGUGUGUGUAUGCUUGUUGCCUGAGUGUGUGUCAGGUGUGUGAUCACUGGUAUGUGUAUGUGUGUGUUUUCUCAGGGUCGUCUGUUGAAUCUGAGCUGCUCCACAGUGCACCCAUUCGUCCUCUCCAUCACCGCCACCACACAGGUCUGUCUGUUUCACACACAGCAGGGGAACUCAUGGUCGCAGCAAACACACAAGCUGUACUGCUGUUUUGUGGAGUGCUACAUGUAUGCAUUAUGAAAAGGGACAGGCCUUUGUAUCCACAGUCUCUUUGUAAUUGAAAUGUUUUCUAUGUAUACUAUUUCUAUAACGUAACGUAACAUAAUGCACUCAGGCACUGGCUCUGAUAGAGAUUUACAACGCCCCAGAGGGACGAUAUAAACAAGACGUCUACCUUCUGCCCAAAAAGAUGGAUGAGUUUGUGGCCAGUCUCCACCUGCCAACGUUUGAUGCCCACCUCACAGAGCUGACGGAUGAGCAGGGCAAAUACCUGGGCCUCAGCAAGACCGGACCCUUUAAACCGAACUACUACAGAUACUAAUCUAUGGUAGUGAAGACCAAAGACGUACCAUACCAUCGCAAAGACAUAUGUGGCUCAGAGGGAAGGAGGACCAGGAGACCUGGCUCAGAUUUGUGUUUGUGGGGGAACUAUAGCCCAGCACUGACGGGUAACACCACAACCAUGAUGUCUGACUGACCUUUAACCCCUGUCCUCUGACCUCUGCUGAGCCAUCUGACCUCACUGGAGGGCCGUCAUUGGUCUGAGAGAAUUGAUAUGCUGAGAAGCUCUUUUUUUAAUGUACAUAAAGUAUUAUUGUGAACAGAAGCAGAAAUGAUCAUUUCCCACCAGAUUCAUAUCCUAAGGCCAGACUCAGUUGCCGGGUUUGAGUUUUCUAUUUUCCAUUAUUUUUAUCUGUUGUCUGAAGUGGCGGGGUUUGGAGGAGGUGUAUGUUAUUUAGCAGAAUCUUACAAAAAGAUCAAGUUGUAACAGAGGAACACAGAUGAUCUAAUAAAAAUAUAAAUACA